GGAGAAAAAAAGAAGAGAUAUCCAAGUUUGAAUUUUAUUCGCUAGUCACCUGCAAACAGAAUACAUAUCCGCUGAGUUAUGAAUGUGAAAAAACCAAUAUGUGCUUUUCAUUGGCUUGUUAUGGACUGACCACUUACUCUAAAGGAGAAACCAACCCUAAUAUAGACCUACCCUGUGUUUUACCCUGUAAGAGAAAGCCUCCACAGCAGGUGUAAGACUCCCAACUGUUGUUUUUGGAGGCUAGUUCAGGUUCGGUGCCUAAAAAGCGUGACACAAAUGAAAUAAUUUACCUCCCCACCCAAAAAAAACAUAGUAGUAUCAUUUUUGAUUUCACAGUGUAACCAAGUGUACCAUUUCGUCUCCGCGCGCACACACACACACACAUAAAACAUUACCAAGAUUUGAACCAUAACUGCCCUCCCCUCUUCACAGUAUGUCUUCUCCCGCAGGCUGUUGUUGUAAAUAUGAAUGUUUUCUCAGUCAACUUGCCUUGUUAAAUAAGAUUUUACAAAAUCCCAUGAAAGAUUUCUCAAAGCUUGACGGCUGAUAUUGGCAUUCCCGUGCAGUGCGCUGUGUUUUAAAACCCGCAAACAACCCAGCAUAAAUUUACACCAUUAAGUCCCCCGGGCUAGAAAACAGAUAAAGUGCUGUGCGUGUGGCAUGAGAAUGCAGUAGUCAUAAUGAGAAUGUAGAUGUCCUCUGGAUGCCAUGGACGCUGCCUCCAACAAGCACACGUAAGUGCUUACUCUCGUCUGUUGCCGUGUGUCAAUGAAUAAUGCACAUAUUAAUCUGGCAAUGUAUGGAAGCUAAUUAAUUCAGUAUUUUCCUAUUCAAGGUUAUCUAAUUAAUGUGGUAUCUUUGUAGUCAUUAGGCAUGGAUAAAAUUCUUGAUUUAUCUUCGUCAGCCUUUUACCUCAAUUUUCUACUGAUUUAUAUAAUGACCCGCAGUCACUUCCUUUGUAAAACAACCGCCAGCUCCACCCUCGAUUGUGGUGGUAUCUGCAGUCUCUGCAAUGGUGGGUGAGAAUUUAACCCUUUUAGCACCUACGCACUCAGGUGCAUUUUUUUUUCAAUUUAAUAGACAAUAAGAGAAAGGUUGCUAGCUGCAGUUCAUACUCCACUAUAGUCAGUCAAGUUUAUUCAAGGAAGUUGGUGAUGAUUUAACACCCCUGUCAGCUGGUGCUCUGCAAUACGUGCUGGGAUCCCUCCUCUGCAGCAGUAGCAGUGGCACGGGCUGCCAUAACUCUCUCUGGAAUUGCAGCUGGGACCGGGCCUUUGCUUAAAUGAUCUGCAUCUGGGGAAGAAGGAAGUGCAGUUUGGGCAAUGAAUGCUGCAGGCAGUCUUGUGGGGACUGAGGUGGGGCUGUGGGUCAACACAGGUUUGUCUCCCCUCUCUGGCCCUUCACUCCCUGGUGUUUUUCAGCAACACACGGACGCUCUUGGAGAAAACAUCACGAGGAUCAGUAGCAGGCAGAGCAGGACAGACGCAUCUUUCCCUCAGCUCCAGAGC
ensembl:lncRNA